GAAGUAACCAAUCGAACAAUCUUAUACGGACUAAAAAUCCAACUGAAUGAAGCCAAAGAUCUUUGGAUAGAAGAAUUAUAUCCGGUCUUAUGGACGUAUCGAAUGACUCUCCGCAUACCAACUGGAGAAUCUCCUUUCAACUUAGCUUAUGGGACAGAAGCAAUGAUACCGCUUGAGAUCAGAUUGCCAUCAACAAGAGUGGAGCAAUAUAGUGAGCCGAGCA
rnacentral:lncRNA from 1 species